rnacentral:misc_RNA from 1 species
AACUUUUAGCAACGGAUCACUUGGCUCUCGCAUCGAUGAAGAACGCAGCGAAAUGCGAUAAGUAAUGUGAAUUGCAGAAUUCAGUUAAUCAUCGAAUCUUUGAACGCACCUUGCGCCCUUUGGCUAUUCUGAAGGGCAUGCCUGUUUGAGUAUCAUGAACACCUCAACUCCUCAUGGUUUGCCAUGAUGAGCUUGGACUUUGGGGGUUUGCUGGCCUAUGGUUGGCUCCUCUCAAAUGGAUCAGCUUGCCAGUGUUUGGUGGCAUCACAGGUGUGAUAAAUAUCUACGCUUGUGGUUUCCACCAUGUAGCCUUCAGCGAUGAAGGUUCUCUGGAGCUCACAAAUGUCCCUCCUCAGCGAGGACAGCUUUUUGAACGUUCGAUCUCAAAUCAGGUAGGACUACCCGCUGAACUUAAGCAUAUCAAUAAGCGGAGGCU